GAUGAACGCUAGCGACAGGCUUAACACAUGCAAGUCGAGGGGCAGCGGGGGUAGCAAUACCCGCCGGCGACCGGCGCACGGGUGAGUAACGCGUAUGCAACUUACCUAUCAGAGGGGGAUAACCCGGCGAAAGUCGGACUAAUACCGCAUGAAGCAGGGGCCCCGCAGGGGGAUAUUUGCUAAAGAUUCAUCGUUGAUAGAUAGGCAUGCGUUCCAUUAGGCAGUUGGCGGGGUAACGGCCCACCAAACCGACGAUGGAUAGGGGUUCUGAGAGGAAGGUCCCCCACAUUGGUACUGAGACACGGACCAAACUCCUACGGGAGGCAGCAGUGAGGAAUAUUGGCCAAUGGGCGCGAGCCUGAACCAGCCAAGUCGCGUGAGGGAUGAAGGUUCUAUGGAUCGUAAACCUCUUUUAUAAGGGAAUAAAGUGCGGGACGUGUCCUGUUUUGUAUGUACCUUAUGAAUAAGGAUCGGCUAACUCCGUGCCAGCCGCCGCCGUAA
rnacentral:rRNA from 1 species